GAACGCUAGCGACAGGCUUAACNCAUGCAAGUCGAGGGGCAGCGAGGGAGUGCUUGCACUUCUGUCGGCGACCGGCGCACGGGUGAGUAACACGUAUGCAACCUGCCCUUGUCAGGGGGAUAAGCGAGGGAAACCUCGUCUAAUACCGCAUAUAUGGUUUUGAGGCAUCUCUUAAUCAGGGAAAGAAUUAUCGGACAAGGAUGGGCAUGCGGGACAUUAGGUAGUUGGGGGUGUAACGGACCACCAAGCCGACGAUGUCUAGGGGUUCUGAGAGGAAGGUCCCCCACACCGGUACUGAGACACGGACCAGACUCCUACGGGAGGCAGCAGUGAGGAAUAUUGGUCAAUGGGCGAGAGCCUGAACCAGCCAAGUCGCGUGCAGGAAGAAUGUCUUAUGGAUUGUAAACUGCUUUUGUAUGGGGCUAAUAAUAACUUUGCGAAGUUAGAUGCAGGUACCAUACGAAUAAGGAUCGGCUAACUCCGUG
rnacentral:rRNA from 1 species